AUACAUUUCUCAAAUUGUCAUCAACAAGCAAAAUCAAGCUCAAAAAUUACACUUCAAUUGAGCAACCAUUAGUGGUGAGAGAUCAUUUAAUACUUUAAAAAUGAAUUACAAUUGCACUCUGUACAGACUCCAAAACUAUUUGUAAUAGACAAAACCAGAAACCUAUUUUUAUUUAUUUUUUUUUAAAAUGGUCAUCCAUUUCUUUGUUAUAUGAAUCCAAUUGUUUAUAGAGGUAACGUAUUCAUUUUUAUAGCAUAUAUUAACAUUUGAUGCACAGACGUUCCAAAUACUGCUCUACACAGAGAGGAGAGAAUCAACGUUACCUAAAUGGCUGAAACCGAUGGCGACCUGUUCCCCUGAACCUGAGAGGACCUUCUGGAUUCUUUUCAGCUUCUUCCAUGCGGUUGAAACACUUGGCAAGAUAUUUG
rnacentral:lncRNA from 1 species